GACGAACGCUGGCGGCGUGCCUAAUACAUGCAAGUCGAACGCAGUGGGGACGGGUGAGUAACACGUGGGUAACCUCCCCCUCAGAGGGGAUACCACUUGGAAACAGGUGCUAAACCGUUACUGAUGGAUGGACCCUCGGUGCAUUAGCUAGUUGGUGAGGCAACGGCUCACAAGGGCCACGAUGCAUAGCCGGCCUGAGAGGGUGAUCGGCCACACUGGAACUGCGACACGGCCCAGACGCCUACGGGAGGCAGCAGUAGGGAAUCUUCGGCAAUGGACGAAAGUCGGAGCGAGGGACGCCGCGUGAGUGAAGAAGGUUUUCGGAUCGUAAAGCUCUGUUGGUAGGGAAGCGGUAUCUAACCAGAAAGCACCGGCUAACUACGUGCCAGCAGCGGCGGUAAUAC
rnacentral:rRNA from 1 species